ACGGCAGCACAGCAGUAGCAAUACUGUGGGUGGCGAGUGGCGGACGGGUGAGUAAUGCAUCGGGACCUACCUAGACGUGGGGGAUAACGUAGGGAAACUUACGCUAAUACCGCAUACGUCCUACGGGAGAAAGCAGGGGACCUUCGGGCCUUGCGCGGUUAGACGGACCGAUGUUCGAUUAGCUAGUUGGUAGGGUAAUGGCCUACCAAGGCGACGAUCGAUAGCUGGUCUGAGAGGAUGAUCAGCCACACUGGAACUGAGACACGGUCCAGACUCCUACGGGAGGCAGCAGUGGGGAAUAUUGGACAAUGGGCGCAAGCCUGAUCCAGCAAUGCCGCGUGUGUGAAGAAGGCCUUCGGGUUGUAAAGCACUUUUAUCAGGAGCGAAAUGCUGUCGGCUAAUACCCGGCGGAACUGACGGUACCUGAGGAAUAAGCACCGGCUAACUUCGUGCCAGCAGCCGCGGUAAUACGAAGGGUGCAAGCGUUAAUCGGAAUUACUGGGCGUAAAGCGUGCGUAGGCGGUUUGUUAAGUCUGUUGUGAAAUCCCCGGGCUCAACCUGGGAAUGGCAAUGGAUACUGGCAAGCUAGAGUGUGAUAGAGGAUGGUGGAAUUCCCGGUGUAGCGGUGAAAUGCGUAGAGAUCGGGAGGAACAUCAGUGGCGAGGGCGGCCAUCUGGAUCAACACUGACGCUGA
rnacentral:rRNA from 1 species